rnacentral:lncRNA from 1 species
AUGUUAAUGGAGGAGUUCAACCUACGACCUCUUUACAACUCUUACAUAUCAAACAUCUUCACCACUGGAAAAUAAUCAGAAACAUUCACUUUCCCAGCAUCUUCCAUUAUCCUCCAUACAAGCUCUUUAAACUCACCAGCACUCUCGAACUCCGAAUCAACAAGGUCCUCUGAGAACACCGUGUUGGAAACCAAGUUCAACAUGGUGGCGAAAGCAAGUUCACCUAUGUCAACGGUUGUUUUCUCUGCUGCUUUUUUGUGAAGGUGUUGGACUAGUUGCUCAACUUUCCGGUGACGGAGAUGUUGGAGAAGGUCAAGGCGGUGGGUGGUGAAUAUUUGUGUGGUGCAGAUACGUCUACGGUUACGCCACCGUGAGUCGGCAUGGGACCAUGCGAGUGUGUCGUUGACGUUGGGUUGAGCAGCAACUGAUUCAGGGAUAGGGCGGUUGGCGAAGGAUUGGUCGUUUUUUUGGAGGAUUUCUUGGGCGGUUUUCGGGGAGGAAGCAACGGUGACGGUGACGGAGCCGAAGCGGAGGGACAUGAUGGGGCCAUAGGUUUUGGCGAGGGAAGAGAGGGUGCAGUGGGGUUUUGAGCCGAGUUGGUGGAGGUUUCCGAUUAUGGGAAGACCGGUUGGACCGGGUGGUUUAUUCUUUUGGCGGUUUAGGAAGAACCGGAUUAUGAUAAGGGAUAGGGUGGUGAAUAAUAGUAAGAUAUGAUACUCCAUCAUUGAUUAAUUAUCUAGUAUGAAAUUGUCAUGAACUUCAAUGAAAAUUAUAUAAGGUUGUGUGUUCU